AGGACUGUGUUUUCAGAGUUCAUGUCUACAGCUCAUUGCGGGGGCAGUUUCUUUGAUCGUGUGGAGCUGGAGGCCAGAAGCAGGACACACGGUGUUCUUUCCUGAGUAUGAAGCCAGCUCUCGGACUUGUUUUGUUGCACCUGCCACUAGGCAUUGAUGAAGGAGAGGACGCAGUCGAAGUGGU
ensembl:snoRNA U3 Small nucleolar RNA U3